rnacentral:rRNA from 1 species
ACGGGGCCCGCACAAGCGGUGGAGCAUGUGGUUUUAAUUCGAAGCAACGCGAAGAACCUUACCAGGCCUUGACAUGCAGAGAACUUUCCAGAGAUGGAUUGGUGCCUUCGGGAACUCUGACACAGGUGCUGCAUGGCUGUCGUCAGCUCGUGUCGCGAGAUGUUGGGUUAAGUCCCGUAACGAGCGCAACCCUUGUCCUUAGUUACCAGCACGUUAUGGUGGGCACUCUAAGGAGACUGCCGGUGACAAACCGGAGGAAGGUGGGGAUGACGUCAAGUCAUCAUGGCCCUUACGGCCUGGGCUACACACGUGCUACAAUGGUCGGUACAAAGGGUUGCCAAGCCGCGAGGUGGAGCUAAUCCCAUAAAACCGAUCGUAGUCCGGAUCGCAGUCUGCAACUCGACUGCGUGAAGUCGGAAUCGCUAGUAAUCGUGAAUCAGAAUGUCACGGUGAAUACGUUCCCGGGCCUU